rnacentral:snRNA from 1 species
AUCUUUGCGCUUGGGGCAAUGACGCAGCUAGUGAGGUACUAACCGAGGCGCGUCUAUUGCUGGUUGAAAACUAUUUCCAAACCCCC